AAUACAAGGUGUUUGGAAAUAAAUGGUUUACUCUUUGAUAAAGUGUUUUAUUUUAAAGACAAAUGUUGAUCUCAAAAGUACAAUAUUUCUUGACUGAAAUGUGGUGGAGAAAAAGUAUAAAGUACCAUUUGAAAUACAGCAAAGGACAAUAAAUGCAGAAUUCAGAUAUGCCUAAAAUCCCUACACAAUGCAUGUAUUAGUUCUGAAGGUGUCAAAUAUGACAACUCAUUAAAGAACAUGAAUCAAAGCCCUGUUAUCCAUCAUUAAAAUCUGAUGCCUAACAGUUUUGCCAUAUUACAGUUCUACUCGGAAUGAGCAAAAGUGCUGCAGGCAGCUCACUUAUUUGGUGACAUGACAUCCACAUCACAUGAGCAGCAGUUCCUCCAGUUACCAAGGACUCAGUAUCAAUAUACCUGGUUGUCAUAUUCUUGGAUGAAUCAUUACGUUCUGUAACAAGGGACAUGUGUCCCCUUGGAAAUAGGGUAACAUAAGGACACAGCAGGGUGUGGCAGAGGCGGAGUUUUGAAUGGGAAAUAUAAAUGUGGCCUCAAUGCUGCUGAAUAUAGCUUGGAAAUUUUCCAAUGGAUUUCCAUUUCUGAAAAAUGAAAUACUUUUUUAUCUUCCACAUGGCUUGCCUGCAUAUUCCAUCUGCAGAGUCAGGUGUGAGGCUGAGAACAGGAAUGCAAAGAGAUUCUGGGUGGGGCAGCCCCCCUCAUCUUGUUCCUCUGACUGAUGAAACUAAGGGAGAAAUGUCAACAAAGAAUGAGUUUUCUUUUGAUAGUGGAGCCACACAGGGGACAGAUAAGAGCUCCUCGCAGGGAGGUUUUGGAGGAUUCUCCAGGAGAAAGAAUGGCAAGAGGCGCCGUGUGAGGCCUUUUGGACGGUUUAACUCAGAUACGCAUGGCUGCAGUGGAAUCCAGGCUCGGAGUUGCAGCGGUUUUUCAGAGUGUUCAGGGUGCUUGGGUCUGUACACAUGUAACCUUACCCUGGGGGGGUGCCAGCUGAAGGGCCUGUCACAGCAGACAGAGAAAUUCCUCCAAACCCUGAGAGAUUUCUGAUCACCACACCGCAACAUGAGAAACAUUGUGAGACGUGCCUUUACAGUGUGGUAGUUGUAAUAAUUGAAACAGGAUCUCAUAGUCAGUUAACCUGCGUGUCUUACAUAAAAUGUAACUGUAUGUCAGAACAAAAGAUUGUAUGUCAUUUGAUAGGGAUUAUAAAAUCAAUUCAUGGAUUAAUUAUGAAUAUUUGACAGUCCAUUUUUGUUUUUACUUUUAGUUACGUUUAUCUGUAUAUUCAUUUCUAUUUAAAUCAUUUUCAUUAUCAGUCAUAAAAAGAAAAUUGUUGUUAUGAGUUUUGACCUCGUAAAGCAUCAUGAUUGUGUGCUUAUAAUAGAAAAUGAUUGGAAAAACUUUAGAAUUUAAACUCACCUGUAAUAGAAAAUCCUAUCUAAACUUACAUUGUAUCACAUUCUCAUUACUAACCAACACUAAAUACUUACAUGUGUAUAACAAAAUGGAUGUAUGACCUUAUGAAAUCUAAAAUGUCUUUGCUGCUUUCUCAUUGUUUUUGUUUGGGUUAAACACAAAUAAGGUCGAUUAAAUAAAUACAUGAUU